rnacentral:rRNA from 1 species
GUGUCAGCCGCCGCGGUAAUACGGAGGGUGCAAGCGUUAAUCGGAAUUACUGGGCGUAAAGCGUGCGUAGGUGGUUUGUUAAGUUAGAUGUGAAAGCCCUGGGCUCAACCUAGGAACUGCAUUUAAAACUGGCAAACUAGAGUAUAGGAGAGGAAAGUGGAAUUUCAGGUGUAGCGGUGAAAUGCGUAGAUAUCUGAAGGAACAUCAAUGGCGAAGGCAGCUUUCUGGACUAAUACUGACACUGAGGUACGAAAGCGUGGGUAGCAAACAGGAUUAGAUACCCUGGUAGUCCACGCCGUAAACGAUGACAACUAGCCGUUGGGAGGGUUUACCUCUUAGUGGCGAAGCUAACGCGUUAAGUUGUCCGCCUGGGGAGUACGGCCGCAAGGUUAAAACUCAAAUAAAUUGACGG